CUGACCCCGGAACGUUCUUCACAGAGCCUCAACCACACCGUGGGUACCACACACAUUUCGUCAACAACGCUCUUACAUCCGUCAUCUGAACAACAAUCUUGAGAACUUGUCUACCUCGUCGAGAUGGCUUUCAGAUGUGUAGUUGCUUUGCCUAUCUUCCUUGUGCUGAUGAAAAUAGUGAUUUCUUGCGAGCACUGCACAGAAAUUACACGGCCUGGAGCAAGGGGGCAAAUGGUUGUUAACGACACUAUCAGCAACCUUCAAGCCAUUAUGAAAGGGGUCAUUGGGAAAGACGUCAGUGUAUUUCUGUUUCGCAUCGCCUGUGUGGAGUCCAAGUUUGGUACGGAUAAAAACACGUAUCGUUCUGGCUACCAUGGAGGUAUCUGGCAGGUAGAUGAGAUAGCGUUCAACGACACUCAAGACACUGGUAGCCAUUCUAAGUUGAGUGGCAAGCAUAAAAUUAUACUAAAGAUCUGUGGAAUUGACUGGACCAUGGUUACCUGGAAGCACCUGAGGAAGCCCCUCUAUUCAGGCAUGGCUGCUUUGCUUUUUAUGUCCAACAAACCAUUUAACAUCCCUGAUGAUCUUAACGGUCAAGCUGAGUAUUGGAAGAAAUACUACAAUACAGCAAGCGGGAGUGGAACGGUGCAGAAAUUCAAGGACGACGUUAGGGGACCAGAUUGCAUGUAGUAUUUGAAGUUAAUUGAUAUCAUGUAUCAUUUUUCAUUAUUCAUUUAGUUCAUACUAAAUGCUAUAAAUCCAUUACACAGUGUACAGUAAGAAAGGCAAGGGAUGUUAGUUAAUUUCAGGACAACCAUUAAAUCACUCUCCUCAGUCAUGCAACUAUUAUUAUACCAUAACGGAAUUGAGAAUUAGGCGUGUGGUCAUUAGCGCGUAGCUGCGACUCAUGUUUACAAAAAACGACAUUACUUAGUAUUUGCUUUUAAUUCUACCUUUUACGUAUACAGAAUUUCAGGAUACAGUGACGUUUAUUGUACUCAGAUAGGAAAGUUCCUAGUUUUGUUCUUGUCUCUACAUAUCGUUUACAUCAUUUUUACACAGAGACACAUUUGAAUCAAAUAAUAAAUAUUUUGGGGUUAACUUUUUGGGAAAAUCACGGUAUGUUAUGUGUGGACGACAAAUUGGUGAAAUCAAUAUGACUUAUUUAGUGAAAUCGCUGAGCAACAUCAUCUUAUGAAAAUACAUACUCUGACAUCUGACAUCAUUAAAACAAUCUCUCAAUACAAUGCUUUUAAAGAAUGGUAUGUUUUCCAAUACUAUAUUUCAAUUUUGUUUUAAACUGUGGUCUUAAGGUCAAACCAUAAUCUCAACUAUGUGUUGCUGGUCAAUGGUCUCACCAAACAAAAUUCAUUAUUCUCGUAAUCAGUUCAACCAGUAAUGCCUUAGUUGCAGAAUUUCCAUGUGAUCGACCUUUUUUUAUUUGAAGAUUAAAUGGCACAUUUAAUUUAGUUUAUAAGACUUUGUUCCCAAAGACCUAUCUGAAUAUCCCUUACACUGCCGUAACAUGCUGGAACAAGCUAAACAAGGCACAAGACGGUUACUUAUUAUGCAAGGGGCACGCUGUGUUUGGAACACAUCCAUUGGCUAUCAGACACAUGCCACGUGCGUCAGUGUACACGAUUGGCCAAAAGUUUUAUCAUAGUAACAUGCGUGUAAUUUCAUCACAAACGCCUUUCCCGUCGUAUGUCAGAGAGCUAACCAUCAUGUUCACAACUGCAUUCUUUUGAUAGUAAUAGGUGUCGUUUUCUCUUCCACCACAAUCCCCACAUUCACCGGGUAUGUGACUAUGGUUUGCUUCUUUUAUUUUCCUUGGGACUCAGAAUUUUCUCUGCAAGCAGUCGUAUCAGCCCCCCAAACCACGGGUUACAACUGGUCAUAUGCUAGCACAUUCAAGUUAUGGAGGAUGUGCAGAGGUUAAAAGAGUUUUGUUCUGGUGCUACCAGAUACGCGUUGACUCAAAAUUAUUGUUUUAACUGAGGUCUACAUAAAGAGAGUGAGAUAACAUUAAAUCUGACUCAAGAGUUUUUAAUGAUUAGCGACGAACAAAAGUGGCAUCCAAUUUAGUUUAGGAUAUUUUCAAGAUGUAUUUUUUUUGCGUUGGGGAGAUGAGCAGAGAUGACAGUGCUUAUUAAUAUACGUUGGGUAAGGACAAAACCGUUUAGGAUAUAAACUAUAUAAGCUAGCAUAUGACCGUUAUAUAUAGUUUAGGAUACUUUUAAAAUGUGAAGGCUAAAACAACAUAAUAGCUGAUUACAUUACAAGAUUCGCAAAUAGGAGACAAAAUGGAUGAAUCAAUUUGUUUACUGUUACUCAAGGUAAAACUAUAUGAACACCAACUAUAUAUUUAAGAUAAAUAACGAAUAAAAGGCUCAGGGGCCCCCAA
rnacentral:lncRNA from 1 species